UACGCAGGGUGCGAGCGUUGUCCGGAAUUAUUGGGCGUAAAGAGCUUGUAGGCGGUCUGUCGCGUCUGCUGUGAAAAUCCGGGGCUCAACCCCGGACCUGCAGUGGGUACGGGCAGACUAGAGUGUGGUAGGGGAGACUGGAAUUCCUGGUGUAGCGGUGAAAUGCGCAGAUAUCAGGAGGAACACCGAUGGCGAAGGCAGGUCCUC
rnacentral:rRNA from 1 species